NNNNNNNNNNNNNNNNNNNNNNNNNNNNNNNNNNNNNNNCCCCCACGUGCCCAGCCCCUGCGCCCGGGCUGCUUGGGUGGUCGCGACGUGCCCCCGUGUCACGACAUGCCCAGUGUCACGCUGUGCCCUGGUGGCCCUGCCGAGCCUUUCCCCAUGCCCCGUGUCACGAUGUGCCCGGUGUUGUGCCAUGUCCCAUGUCACUCCGUGCCCCGUGUCACCCCGUGUCAUGCCAUGUCGCACCAUCCCGCGUCACGCCGUGUCCCAUGUCAUGCCGUGUCGCCAUGCCACACCAUGCCCCGUGUCAUGCUGUGUUGUCCCAUGCCAUGCCCUGUGUCACGCCAUGCCCCAUGUCAUGCCACAUCCUGUGUGGCACUGUGCCAUGCCACAUCCCAUGUCACGCCGUGUCAUGCCGUGCCCUCCUCACACCAUGUCACGCCAUGUCCUCCGUCACACUGUGUCACACCCUGUCACGACACAUCCCGUGUCACACCAUGUCACGCCGUGUCCCCUAUCACCCCCUGUCACGCCAUGUCAUGCCACAUCCCAUGUCAUGCUGUGUCACCCCGUGUCACACUGUGCCCCUCUCACGCUGUGUCACGCCGUGUCACACCAUGUCCUCUGUCACACUGUCACACUGUGUCAUGCCAUGUCACACCCUGUCACGACACGUCCCAUGUCAUGCCGUGUCACGCCGUGUCCCCAUCACCCCAUGUCAUGCCGUGUCACGCCAUGUCAUGCCACAUCCCAUGUCACGCCGUGUCACCCUGUGUCACACUGUGCCCCUCUCACGCCGUGUCACGCCGUGUCCCCUAUCACCCCAUGUCAUGCCAUGUCAUGCCGUGUCACGCGAUGUCAUGCCACAUCCCAUGUCGUGCCGUGUCACACCACGUCACGCCGUGUCACACUGUGCCCCUCUCAUGCUGUGUCACGCCGUGUCAUGCCAUGUCAUGCCAUGUCACGCCCUGUCACCCCCUCUCACACCGUGUCACACCAUGUCACGCCCUGUCACCCCUUCUCACGCCGUGUCACGCCGUGUCACGCCGUGUCACGCCAUGUCAUGCCACAUCCCAUGUCACGCUGUGUCACACCAUGUCACACUGUGCCCCUCUCACGCCACCACGCCGUGUCACGCCGUGUCACCCCAUGUCACCCCCUCUCACGCCGUGUCACGCCGUGUCUGUCACGCCGUGUCACGCCCUGUCACCGCCUCUCACGCCGCGUCACGCCGUGCCUGCAGCCCGCCGCCAUGCCGUUCAGCAGCACCCACAACAAGCACAAGCUGAAGUUCUCGGCGGAGGAGGAGUUCCCCGACCUCUCCAAGCACAACAACCACAUGGCCAAGGUGCUGACCCCCGCCCUCUACCAGCGCCUGCGCGACAAGGAGACCCCCAGCGGCUUCACGCUCGACGACGUCAUCCAGACCGGCGUCGACAACCCCGGUGCGUGUCCCCAGGGCACCCCCAGUCCGUUGUCCCCAAGCGCCAUUGUCCCCAAGCGCCAUUGUCCCCAAGCGCCGU
rnacentral:lncRNA from 1 species